rnacentral:rRNA from 1 species
CAAUAGCGUAUAUUAAAGUUGUUGCAGUUAAAAAGCUCGUAGUUGGAUUUCUGUGAGAGUGCCGGUGUCGGCUGAUGCUUGUACGCAGGCGCUCUUACAUCCUUCUGUUAACUGUUCUUGGCAUUUUAUUGCUGGUUCAGGGCUCAGAUAUUUUACCUUGAGAAAAUUAGAGUGUUUCAGGCAGGCUUAUGCCGGAAUACAUUAGCAUGGAAUAAUGGAACAGGACCUGUGCGUCUCUCGGGGCGCCGGUCUCCGUUGUUGGUUUCGGGGACUAAUGUAAUGAUUAAUAGGGAUAGUUGGGGGCAUUAGUAUUUAAUAGUCAGAGGUGAAAUUCUCGGAUUUGUUAAAGACUAACUUAUGCGAAANCANNNGCCAAGGAUGUUUUCAUNAA